AUAGCAGAAAAUGAUGACUCAUACCUAUAUUAUGUUUGCUGCAGAACCUCUGCUCCUCUGGAGGAGCUGAGAUCCUCUGCAGUUGCUGGGAUCGAGAAGGAGACGUCUCGUUUGCAGUGUCUCAGUGUGAACUCACUUGCCACAGUGUGAACCCCUUGACAGGAGAUACACAGUGGGACAAGGGAGCCUAUGAAGGUGUCGUAUCCUGAGGGUGAAGAGGGAACGGGCCACAGUGAAGCUCUGGUCUCGGCCUCCCUAGGGAGCCAGCUGAUGUAGUUUCAGACCUGGCAUAGUGGUUACUGUGAGAAUUUGUCACCUGUGCUGGCUUCCUUGCCUGCCCCCAUGACUGGAGUUGGGUGAGAGGACAGAGGGCCCCAUGCCAGCAUCUGGGAAAAAGCCACUGAAUGGCCGAGCUGCACCUUGAACCCAGGUCUGUCACACUGGAGGCCUGAAAUCUUACCUGUACAAUGCACAACUGUUGGAAUGCAGGCACGCCGUCCACUGCCCUGGUCACUUUCUACAGAUUACCAGUCUGGUGGCAUGUGGGGCUCAUUGGAUCCUGGACAUACUGUGGGGUGCUGAGUACACAAGCAUCAGGGGCAUAGAGGCCCAAAAGGUUUCCUUUCCUACUUCUCAGAUUUUCUUCAUGGAGUCUGAGCGUUGGGUUCUGACGUGUGAUAAGAUAUCCUCAGGGAACUAAUUGGUAGAGUGAUUGACACGUGGGCAUACAUUACAGUUUGGCUGUAGGCAAACAUUUAGCCACAGUGAGAACAUUUUAUGGCUUCAUGGAAUGGAAAUGUCUACAACUGAAGGAUCCUGAAAUCCAGGCUCCCAAGUAUCAUUGAUAACCAACAGUGACUGGAUAUCAAUGAACCAUUCUGUCUUAAGCACCAAGCACCAGGUGGAAAGGAGUUUGCAGACUGGGUUACACGAAGCCCUUGGUGUCCAGCGAUAACUUAAGAGUAAACCAUCACAAGGAGCCUCUGGAGUGUGGUCACCUACCUCUCAUCCUCAACUUGACUACAUCAGGUCCAGCAUCAGCAUCUCAGCAUCACCCUCAUCCUGUCCCCGCCUUAAGAACCUGAAGAAUGAGUUUCUGUGGGACAAAGAGUGCACUC